GUGCAGCAGGCGAGAAACUUCACACUGUGCGAAAGCACGAUGAGGGAAUCCCAAGUGCUUGCACGUAAGUGUAAGCUGUUUCUCUGUUUAAAACGCAGAGAGAGUAAGGGCUGGGUAAGACGGGUGCCAGCCGCCGCGGUAAUACCUGCAGCUCAAGUGGUGACCGUUAUUAUUGGGCCUAAAACGUCCGUAGCCGGUUUAAUAAAUGCCUGGGUAAAUCGCGUAGCUUAACUAUACGAAUUCCGGGUAGACUGUUAAACUCGAGACCGGGAGAAGUUAGAGGUACUCCUGGGGUAGAGGUGAAAUUCUGUAAUCCUAGGGGGACCACCAGUGGCGAAGGCGUCUAACUAGAACGGGUCUGACGGUGAGGGACGAAGCCCUGGGGCGCAAACGGGAUUAGAUACCCCCGUAGU
rnacentral:rRNA from 1 species